UACAGGGGGGGCAAGCGUUGUUCGGAAUUACUGGGCGUAAAGAGCUCGUAGGCGGUCUGUCACGUCGGAUGUGAAAGCCCGGGGCUUAACCCCGGGUCUGCAUUCGAUACGGGCAGACUAGAGUGUGGUAGGGGAGAUCGGAAUUCCUGGUGUAGCGGUGAAAUGCGCAGAUAUCAGGAGGAACACCGGUGGCGAAGGCGGAUCUCUGGGCCAUUACUGACGCUGAGGAGCGAAAGCGUGGGGAGCGAACAGG
rnacentral:rRNA from 1 species